UACGGAGGGGGCUAGCGUUGUCCGGAGUCACUGGGCGUAAAGCGCGCGUAGGCGGCCUGUUAAGUUGGGUGUGAAAGCCCGGGGAUCAACCCCGGAUGUGCAUCCGAGACUGGCAGGCUGGAGUCCGGGAGAGGGCGGCGGAAUUCCCAGUGUAGAGGUGAAAUUCGUAGAUAUUGGGAAGAACACCGGUGGCGAAGGCGGCCGCCUGGCCCGGAACUGACGCUGAGGCGCGAAAGCGUGGGGAGCAAACAGG
rnacentral:rRNA from 1 species